rnacentral:rRNA from 1 species
AUAUCAAUAAGCGGAGGAAAAGAAACCAACAGGGAUUGCCCCAGUAACGGCGAGUGAAGCGGCAAGAGCUCAAAUUUGAAAUCUGGCCUCCUCCGGGGGUCCGAGUUGUAAUUUGCAGAGGAUGCUUCGGGUGCGGCCCCCGUCUAAGUUCCUUGGAAUAGGACGUCAGAGAGGGUGAGAAUCCCGUCUUGGGCGGGCGGCCCGCGCCCGUGUGAAGCUCCUUCGACGAGUCGAGUUGUUUGGGAAUGCAGCUCUAAGCGGGUGGUAAAUUUCAUCUAAAGCUAAAUAUUGGCCGGAGACCGAUAGCGCACAAGUAGAGUGAUCGAAAGGUUAAAAGCACCUUGAAAAGGGAGUUAAACAGCACGUGAAAUUGUUGAAAGGGAAGCGCUUGCGGCCAGACUCGGGGGCGGGGUUCAGCGGGCGCUCGUCGCCCGUGCACUCCCCGCGCCCCGGGCCAGCAUCAGUUUCGACGGUCGGUCAAAGGCCCCCGGAAUGUGUCGUCUCUAGGGACGUCUUAUAGCCGGGGGUGCAAUGCGGCCCGUCGGGACUGAGGAACGCGCUUCGGCUCGGAUGCUGGCGUAAUGGCCGUAAGCGGC